UGAUAAAAAUAGUGUUAAAUUUUUUCUUUGAAGUAUAGAAAAUUUAGUAGUGUUAGUGAAAUUUUAAUAUAACUAUAGAGUAAUAGUACAGUGAUGGAACUUUGAAAUAUUUGAAAAGGUUACAGAAAAUAAGUAUAAUUUAACAUUAGUACCUUUUGUAUCAGUGCUUAUCAAAUUAAUAUUAUAAAAUGUUUUCUCGAAAAUAAAAGAUCUAAAAAAGUUUAGAUGUUUUUGUAUCAACAAAAUUUUCAAAAUUUUUUUAGGUGUGAAAUUCUAAUCGUUUUUAUUAAUAUCUAGUUACUUAGGAAAUAAAUUUAGUUUGAGAGCUUGAGAUAAACUAUAAUUUUUAUUGUAUUUAAAUGGCCCUUUAUGCCUUAGGGGAUGAGCUCUAAGGUAAAUUUAAAAGAUGAAUGAUAAAUAUUUUUUAGGUAGGCUUAGAAUUAGCCACUUUAUAAUGUUAUAAAAUAGAAUUUUAAGAAUGAGAUUUUUGUAUCUUUUAAUUUUACUGAGUUAGUUUCAAAUUUAAUAACAAUCGAAAAAAUGAUAGGAUUAGUAGAGAAAUAUAUAAGGUUGAAUUAUUAAAUUAAGCCCGAAAUUAUAAAUUUAAAAAAUACAACUAAAGAACUCGGCAAAAAAGAUUUCCGAAUGUUUAACAAAAACAUUUCCUCUUAGUAAAAGAGGUAAGACCUGCUCACUGAGAUUUAAAGAGCCGCAGUAUCCUGACUGUGCUAAGGUAGCAUAAUCAUUAGUCUUUUAAUUGGAGACUGGUAUGAAUGGUUAAACGAGAAAUCAACUUUUUUUGUUGUAAAGCUUGAAUUUAACUUUUUAGUGAAAAGGCUAAAAUUUUUCAAAAAGACGAGAAGACCCUAUAGAGUUUUAUAAUCAAGGGAAUAUUUCUUUCUUAGAUUUUUAUGAGAGGUAUUUACUGUAGUUAUUUUGUUGGGGCGACAUUUAGAUAUAAAAAACUCUUUAUUUUUAAAACUUUUAUGAAAGGUAAAUUGAUCCUUUAAAAAAGAUCAUAAGAAAAAAUUACCUUAGGGAUAACAGCGUAAUCUUUUUUGAGAGUUCUAAUCGACAAAAAGGUUUGCGACCUCGAUGUUGGACUAAAAUUAAGGCAGGGUGCAGCAGUUCUGCUAUAAGGUCUGUUCGACCUAUAAUUUUUUACACGAUCUGAGUUCAGACCGGCGUAAGCCAGGUUGGUUUCUAUCUUUUGAUCUUUUUAAAUCAAUUUAGUACGAAAGGAUUGAUUGGUUGUAAGAUUUAUUUGUUGGGAGUAAAAUUAACAUAGAA
rnacentral:rRNA from 1 species